GAUAUUUUGUCUAUAAACUUUGAAUUUAUGGUCAUAACAAAAUAAUGAAAUUGAUUAAACAACAGAAUAAAUACCAAAUAAAAAAAAUAUAAUCCCUUGCAAUACUCCAAUAAGUAGUAUUUCUCGACUUAACAUUUAUUCUUGUUCUGUAAAAAUUAUAUAACUGAGAAAAAAAUGCAGCAUCUGCUUCUUUGGAAGGAAAAAUAGGUAGUAAAACUGAGACAACAGAAAAGAAUCAACAUAAGAAGAUAUUUCUGAUCUUCAGAGCAUCCAAUGUUACCCUCCAGCAUUAGAAGAUGUCUCUUCCUUGGAGAAAUGUGAAAUCUAAGAACAACCAAUUUAGUUGCGUUGCUUUUGAACAAUCUUGUAGAAAAGCUACAUAACAAAGCAAAAUGGCUCCAGAGAAGCUAUAUCAAAUUUGCAUAUUGUGUCUCACUUGAUUUAUAUUGCCCAUUUUUCUUUAGAUGAUUUGAUCCAGACUAUGUUAGCACUUCGAAGAAGUGUCAACCUCAUGCUUCCUUGGAAAUCAGUCGGAGAAUUUAAAUUGUAGACUGUAUCACUCUUCCUUUUUCAGAUUCUGUCUACUUCCUGUUAUGAGUUGGAACACUAAGAUAAAAUUUAGUAUUCUUGAAGUCAUCUAGAAGUGGGUUGUAUCCGUCCUUGGUCCUUGUCUUGGAGGGCAGACCAAACUCUUCCAUGAAUGAUGACGUGUCAAGCUACAAAAGAUUAUGCAAGUUAGAGUAACAUGGAGAAGUAAUUAUGUUAGGAAGAGUGAGGAUGCAUCUCAAAAAAUUUUGGGUGGGCUAUUUACAUUUAUUUGGUGCACAUCGAGCACAAUCUAAUUUGUUCACUAACACUAGGGGCGAAUCAUAAUUCAUAAACACCAGUCUUAAACCAAAGAAUUUUGUUAAACUGAUAUGUAGUUUUCCACGUAUGACAAGUAUGGUUUACCACCGAAACAAUUUAAUCAUCAUUUAGAUAAGGUAAUUAUGAGCCAGAGAAAAGCCAAAGCUACACUGUAAGAAGGAACUUACUACAAGGGUUCGCCUCUUCUUCCCUUGCUUGGAUGAUUUAUCUUGAUGCAUUUUCAGCCAGCCAGAACAGUAAUGGUCCAUACGUUCCAAAAGCCAAAAGUCAGUGGGGAAAAAGAUAUCAGCAUCACCCUUUGCUUCCAGAUAGCUUUUGUAAUCAGAGCUGCGGCCAUCUUUCUUGGUUGAAACCAAAGGAGCCCUUUCACCAGGUAUGCUUACAUCAGGUAGGUAACUAAAGUCUGAGGCAAUUAAUGACAUCUUUGGUAAUGCCUCAUGCAACACCUGUAGUAAUUUCAAGCAGCUGGUUGGUAACCAACAUCUUCGGGGUUUUGGAAACACCUUAGACCAAAUGCUUCUUGCUUUUGAUACAGAUUGAUUACUGUCCAAUUCCAUAAUCUCAACACAACACUUAAUCAAUGGGUCUUGUAGUGGCUUGUACAGCUCUGAGAGUGUUUUCCUAUCAGGUUGCUUCUCAAUCCAUACUUCCUUCCAUGGCAAAACUUGAUUUUCAGAAUAAAUAAGGUCAUGCGGAAGAUUAUCAAGAACCUGCAAGAAAUAAACGUAUAUAUGUAAACUUGCAGGUUAGGCAUUCAUAAGUAUAAUUGCUUUCAGAUUGCAAAAUAGGGAUAAGAGAGCCAUUCUCUACAGGGAUAAGGAAGCAAUCUAUUACUGUUACUUUAUCACAGUGGUUCUAGUCCAAACAUCAGGAGGUCAAAGAAUAAAAAAAUUUAAGGCCAAAAUUAUUUGCUAUUUCUAUUGCGUACAUCAUAUAUAAGAUUAAAAUUCCUAUGUGCAAAAUGUUCCUUACCAACAAGAUCAAGUAGGUAGGAAGCAAUAGCGGAAUGUCUAUCAUCCCCAAAUAUUUGAGGAAUAACUUAUGCUAUUGCUCCAAUAGCAGCAGUCUGUACCCAAAAAUAUAGUAACUCAAAACAUACCUCAAGCAUGAUUACCCAACAUGGCUGUUGCUCCACAUCCCCCCAUCCACCCCGGUCAGCAGCAUCACGACAUUCUACUUUAAACUUUGACAAGUGACUGCGAACUUCUCCAACAGUUUCUUUUUGUAUUUCAGCAAGUGAUGGACUGAUUUCCACUGAGGUGUAAGUCAAACUGUUGUACACUCUUGCAGGUGCAUUCAACAUUAUGUAAUCCAUUAUGCCCUUUGCACAAGUUCCAGAUCCACCACCAAUUUCAUAUAUUUUUAGUGGAACUGAAAGGUUAGCUGUUCGCAAUAUGGCUUCAGCAAUACCAUGGGCAUACCAAGGCUUAAAAAGCUCCACUGGAGUAAACCAUGAUGUGUCACUUUGCUUGUAGACCUUAUCCAAGUGGUUCAUAUAAGCUUUUCUGCCUUCAAGCUGAUUGAACUUAAUGCUUUUCUCUAGAACUCCAACUGACUUCGAUCUUUGAGAGAAGUAGCCGUGUUUUGGAUGGUAUAAUGCAGAAUGGAUGAAGUCUCUUACAAGAAUUGGUUUAUCAUCGACAAAGUAAGUGGAGUAAAGGGCUUGAAAUGGAGGAGUUGUGGACUCAUAUGCAAUCACUGCAGAGGAAAUCAGAGUUGAAAAGAGAAAAUGGUAUUUAUGUGCUUAUAUCUGAGUACACAGGAAGAGAGAAAGGAAGGUACCUCUGCGUCUAUGGAACAAGAAAUUGAGAUUUCGAGAAGAGAAAGAGCGAGAGAACAUGGUAAUCAAAAGAAUGUUAGCAGGUGGAUUCAGUGUUAAAAUUGAAGGAAGAGAUUCUCUCAGACUCAGGGGUUUUGUUGCGAGUUCUUAAAC
rnacentral:misc_RNA from 1 species